UACCAGCUCUCCGAGUGGUAGGGAUGAUUAUUGGGCUUAAAGCGUCCGUAGCCGGCUUAGCAAGUUUCCUGUUAAAUUCAGCGACCUAAUCGUUGAGCCGCGGGAAAUACUACUAGGCUAGGAGGCGGGAGAGGUCGACGGUACUUCUGGGGUAGGGGUGAAAUCCUAUAAUCCCGGGAGGACCACCAGUGGCGAAGGCUGUCGACUAGAACGCGCUCGACGGUGAGGGACGAAAGCUGGGGGAGCGAACCGGAUUAGAUACCCGGGUAGUCCCAGCUGUAAACGAUGCGAGCUAGGUGUUGGGUUGGCUACGUGCCACCCCAGUGCCGAAUGGAAGCAAAUAAGCUCGCCGUUUGGGGAGUACGGCCGCAAGGCUGAAACUUAAGGAAUUGGCGGGGAGCACCACAAGGGGUGUUGGCUGCGGUUC
rnacentral:rRNA from 1 species